ACUUUUUUAGUAUAUAAAAUUAUAUUUGACUUCCAAUCAAAAGAUCUUUAAUGAGAAAAAGUA
rnacentral:tRNA from 1 species